GCACUGAUGAGGUGUCCCAUAUUAGGACGAAACGGCCGUCCAGUGU
rnacentral:hammerhead_ribozyme from 1 species